CAUUAGGAGCUUGAGAAAAAUGGCCCACGAUACCUUCAUUCUUUCCUCAGCUUUGAUGGCUAUUCUGGUUGUACCAGCGCUUGCAUUAUCCUCAGAGGAUAUUCAGACGAAUGAUUUUGAUUUGAAACGUCAUGACAAGUGGAUAUCGAGGGUGGUCGCUGAGCGUAUUUGGGAUUACAAUAUAACGUCAAAUAAAAAUCCGCUCUGCACCCAACAUUUUAACAUUCUACGCCAGCAUCAAGCAAAUUUCACCACGUGGGCUUUGCAGAUGUUGGAUGCAUCUGAUCUGAUUCCGGCUGGUUUUCUUGUUGGAGACGGGUAUCGACUUGGCAAUUUCGAUGAAUGCAUCCAUGCUAACGUUCCAGAAGAACUAGAGUUUUCAUCCCAGUACUGUUUGCCUUCUUUUACAAUCGUUCAAGAAAUACAUAUUCAACAAUCUGCUGAAUCCUCUGACGAUUGGAGAGAGCCCGUCUGGAGGAGGCUUCAGGCCGUAAGCAGAACUAAAAUUCCAAAGAAUCGUUUCAGCCUAUCUUUUUGUAUACCAAGCACUUGUUCAUCAGAAGACUUGCAAACUUCCUUGCAAAGACUGUUCCGUGAAUUGAUGAGGCCUCUCGGGUACGACCUUAAUGUGACCGUUAAUGAUCUCCAUUGCACCACAGGGAAGGACCAGCCUAAAUCCAUUGGUUAUGCGAUAAUGAGGUUCGUAUGCAAAUGA
rnacentral:lncRNA from 1 species